rnacentral:snRNA from 1 species
UACUACACCUACUCCGGUU